rnacentral:rRNA from 1 species
GUGGGGAAUAUUGGUCAAUGGGGGAAACCCUGAACCAGCAACGCCGCGUGAAGGAAGAAGGCUUUCGGGUUGUAAACUUCUUUGACAGGGGACGAAAGCAAUGACGGUACCCUGAAAACAAGCCACGGCUAACUACGUGCCAGCAGCCGCGGUAAUACGUAGGUGGCGAGCGUUGUCCGGAUUUACUGGGUGUAAAGGGCGUGUAGGCGGGGCGGUAAGUCAGAUGGGAAAUGUAGGGGCUCAACCCCUGAAUUGCAUUUGAAACUAUCGUUCUUGAGUGAUGGAGAGGCAGGCGGAAUUCCGUGUGUAGCGGUGAAAUGCGUAGAUAUACGGAGGAACACCAGUGGCGAAGGCGGCCUGCUGGACAUUAACUGACGCUGAGGCGCGAAAGCGUGGGGAGCAAACAGGAUUAGAAACCCCGGUAGUCC